UGCUGCCUCAGCAAUCACCACCUGGCUCUCUGCAAUGGGGAAAGAACUGGUUGCCUCCCGUGUUUUGCCAAAUCUCGUGCUAAGAAUUAGGGCACCAGAGGGGUUGCAGCAGGUGUUCAGAACCAGCUGAGCAUUUGCUUGUUCCACUUUGGGAAUACAGAAGAAAAUGUGAAGCUGAAGUGGCUCUUAAUAACUGCAGAGACUGAAGCACAGUCAAAGGGGUAAAAUGCAGAGCAUGAAGCUGACACAGAGGCAUUCUUCCCCAAGAAGUCAAGUGGACAUAGAGUGACAGCCACGUGGUGCUUUGGUGCCAUGCAGGGCAUGGAGGGAAGAGAUCACACAACCCAGACUGGUCAAUCACUUUGAAAAACAGGAAAUCAGCUGAGUAUUAUCCCUAUGAGACACACGUGCAGUGCUUGAUUCACAGCUCUUUUACUACAGAAGAGUCAAGAAGUGUGCCUUGGAGGUGAUGUCAAGAGUUACGGAUCAAUUAACCUUGGAUGGCAGCACAUAUGGCAGCACUUAUGGCAGUCUCUGAGCACCUCAGGUCAUCAUCUCUGUGUUGGUUGUGCUCAUGCCAGAGAUUGCUAAGAAACCUGACUACAGUUUGCAAAACCCCCAGACACUGAAACAAGCACCACAGAAUAAUCAGUGCUAUCUGCAAACUUCAUAUUCUGCUGUGAAAGUUCUUAAAAAAAUUGAGUAGUAGCCAUCUCAAGAGAGACAUCUUCAAAAGUCAAUCGGCAUGAUGUCUUCCAUUUUGACACCAACCAUUAAUAAACACUUUUAGUGGUUACCAAAUGCUCAAGAUUUAUACUCUUUAAUAAAAAUCUCUGUAUGACAGGUUUUUCUCCUAACUUGUUUUCAGAAAGAUUAUAUAAAACUGUCAAACCUUUCUAAAGUGAGGAUAUGACAUAUACUGCUCCUGCUUUUUUUCUCUUAUGGAACACUUAAAUCAAAUUUACAAACUCUAAACUGGCUGGUCUACUUGUCAUCAUCCAGGUGUCUGUAAAUUACAGUUUGAUCAUUUAUUGCUAUAUUUUUUUCCUGAAACCCCAUUCUUGCUAGCAUCUAACUCCCAGCACUUCCUUUAUUAUUUCUUUAAAACUUGCAAUAUAUUUGCUCAUUUGCAGUCUUUUGGACCACAUCUGUUCUCUGUGAACUCUGAAAAUUGUUGGUGGGUUUUGUUUGAGAUUGUUUCAGUCAGUUGUCUAAAUGCUUUGCCAUGAGGCUUAUGAGGCUCAGCCAAUUUUGAAGUCCACACCUUAGGUAGAAUCAGAGAUGUGCAAGAAAAAGACAAGGGACAACAGGUACAGGUUGCACUUAGGGGGAAAAAAAUCACAGCAAGAGUUCCCAUAAGCACUUGAACAGGUUUCUCAGUGAGGUUGUGGAAUUUCUAUCUGGGUAACAUGGGGAAAUGUUGAAGCUGGCCCUGUUUUGAAAGGGGUAGGGACUAGAUCACCACAGAAGGCUCUGCAGUGUACAUUAUUCUAAUACUCUGUAUUGAUUUUAUCACUCUUCUUUUUUCCUCUGAAGUUCAAAGUUAGACUGAUUUUUGUCUCUGAUCAGUGGACAUGAUCAAGCCAGAUGUAAUCAUAACAAAAUAAUGGUUUAGUAACAACUGAGCUUGUUGAUGAGCUAUCAUCAUUUUCUGCCACCGUCCUUUAUACUCAAUGACAGCACCAGUACCCAGUCCCUCUGUGCCAUUUGUUAUUGUUCAUCAGCUGGGUUCCCAACUCUUCUGGGAAUAAAAUAUGUAGGUGACAUUAGUGACAAAUAUUUUUAAAUUGUAUCACUGUGGUUAUAAGAUGGUGUCUCAUGUUUCUAAGGCUUUCUCUUAGAAUUUGCUUUUAUUGUUUUUCAUAUCCAUCUCAUAUUUCAUCUAAUUAGUUUCCAGUACUAUGCUAUCAUGUAUGGCAAGGAAAAGGGUUUUCUGUGUGUGUGUUUAAAGCCUUUGUGUGCUUUAUCACAGGCCUAGGCAAACAAUAAUUAGCAUCAGUUGAUUAAACAGAUAAGCCAAAGAACUCUCCUUCAUCUGUAUAAGGUCAUUUAUCUCAAAGCACAUCUCCCCUAGGGAGAUGUACUGGGAGGUCAGCCCAUGCUGUGCCAUGAAGAGAUCCAUCACUAACACUCUAACUAAAACCAAGUUGUUACUUUCUCCUUCUUUAGUGUACUUAGUCAUGGCACAAAGAGGACCUGUGACCUGCUGAGUUUCACACCUAUUUAAGAGUCUUAAAGUUGAACUGGCAUUACAGUAUUU